rnacentral:rRNA from 1 species
AUGUGGUUGAAAGAAUGGACGGCGAUCUGUGGGAUAAAGUUCUACAGCGUGAUAACGAAUAUAGAAGGCAGUUCAUUGACCAAGUGGUUUCUACUGCAUUGCCCGAAAGCAAGAGUCCUGAGCAAGUUUCUGCUGCUGUUAAGGCUUUCAUGA